CAUACACACAUACAUGCUCACAUUCACACACACACAGUUUCUUUCUCUCUCUUCCCCCUCACUCUUUCUACCAUCUCUCUUUAAUCACAGAUUUUAAACUCACACGCAUCACACACAUUUGGAAAUAGUAAGAGCAAGAGAGAGAAAGAUGUUGUGUGUGUGUGUGUGUGUGUGUGUGUGUGAAGGGCGGGGUGCAGUGGGAAAAACUACAUUGCUACAAAGAGCAGUAGUUUUAUAUGGUUUCAAUGAGGAAUUGGAUACCAAGUUGUUGUGAUGGUCAAAAAUUGGUAUAAAUUCUUUUAAAUGGCAUUAUGUUUAGAAAACGGUCAUCAACGGUUGGGGUUCUGCAGCACAAAACUACUCAAGAUUUUAAAAUUAGAGAAGACCCGGAAAGCAAAAGUGAGAUCGCAGCCAUGGCCAAUGCCAGUGUUGCAUAACCAGCCUAUUUAACAGUACCCUUGAAGCGUCGGGCAAUAUGAUGUGCUUGAGAAGAUCUGUUGAAUCAAGUGAAAUCAAAAUCAUAGUCAUGGCCAGUGCCACCUGACAUGUAAUAAGCACCAUUCGAAUGUGAGUUGAUGCUAGUGCUGCCUGACUGGCUCCCCGUGCUGGCGGCAUGUAAAAAGCACCGUGUGAACGUGGUCAAUACCAAUGCCCUCUGACUAGCUUCCAUGCCAGUAGCAUGUUGAAAACACUCACUACACUCUCAGAGUGGUUGGUUUUAGGAAGGGCAUCUAGCUGUAGAAACUUUGCCAGAUCAGAUUGGAAUCUGGUAGAGCCUACUGGCUUGCCAGUCCUCAGUCAAACCGUCCAACCCAUGCUAGCAUGUAAAAUGGACAUUUAAUCAAAUUUAAAUAAAGUCAUUUAAGGGCUGUAACUAAAGACAACCGAUUUUUUUUUUCUUAACAGUGGAGAGGCAUGUAUGCAAAUGGUUUUUGUAUAUAUUUACAUGUGUGCAUAUCUGUAAAUAUUUACAUGUGUGCAUAUCUGUAAAUGUGUGCCAUCGUCAUCAUCAUCAUCAUCAUCAUCAUUUAAUGUCCAUCUUCCAUGCUAGCAAUGGGCUGGAGAGUUUGACAGGAACUGGCAAGUCAGACGACUGCACCAAACUCUGCUAUGGUUUCUCUGACUGGAUUCCCUCCCUGCACAUAUCUUCCCAACACUUUUCCCCCUUCCCUCUGCAUACAAUAUAUUCUUGUUGCAUACAAUAUGACUCUUCCUGGUGUCCCUGUUGCAUACAAUAUGUCUCUUCCUGGUAUCCCCUCCUUCUACUUUCACAAUCUCAUAAACUCACCCAUGAGAGUAACAGUAGGCAUAGAGACGGUGAGGGCAGUGGCAAAGACUGAGAGAGAGAGAAAGUGAAAAAGAGAGAGAGAGAAAGAGAGAGAGAGAAAGAGAGACAAAGUAAUUUAGGGAGAGUUGAUGAUGUUUUUAUUAAAACUAGUGGUGUUGAUGGUGACAGUGGGAGUAAUAAUAAGAGAGAGAGAAAGAGUGAGUAUGUGAGAGAAAAAAGGAUUGAACACUGAAGUAACAUGCUGACUAACAUACUGAAUGUACAGACACAUUUAGCCUUUUUGUAAUGUAAGAUAUCUAAAAUAACUAUUGCUUAACCAUUUUCUCACACCGUUUUCGAUGAAGGGAUAUAUAAAAUAUCCUGGAAACAGCUGUAAAAUCUUCUAUUUAUAAAUGUUCUAAAAUCUU